rnacentral:rRNA from 1 species
GGUUGGCUCAGAAGCAGCCAUCCUUUAAAGAGUGCGUAACAGCUCACUAGUCGAGUGACCCUGCGCCGAAAAUGUACCGGGGCUAAGCCUGAUACCGAAACUGCGGAUUGUAGGAAACUAUAGUGGUAGGGGAGCGUUGUAUACGAGUAGAAGCCGUACCGUGAGGAGCGGUGGAUUGUAUAGAAGUGAGAAUGCCGGUGUGAGUAGCGAGAUGUAGGUGAGAAUCCUACACACCGAAAGCCCAAGGAUUCCAGGGGAAGGUUCGUCCGCCCUGGGUAAGUCGGGACCUAACGCGAGGCCGAAAGGCGUAGUGGAUGGAAAGCAGGCGAAAGAUUCCUGCACCCGUAUAUGGAGCGAAGGAGUGACGGAGACGGAUAGUGUGACCCUCUUAAUGGAUUGAGGGCGAAGCGAAGCGGCUGGUUACCAGGCAAAUCCGGUAACUGAAAGGCUAGAGCGUGAUAGGUAAGCGAAAUCUUAGGAAAGUAGCGAAGCACAUGAUGACGGCUUCCAGGAAAAGCUUCUGGCAAUGCAUAUGCGGCCCGUACCAAAACCGACACAGGUGGGCAGGGAGAGAAUCCCGAGGUGAGCGAGAGAACUGUUGCCAAGGAACUCGGCAAAAUGACUCCGUAAGUUAGCGAGAAGGAGUGCUUAAGCAAUUAAGCCGCAGUGAAGAGGCCCAAGCGACUGUUUAACUAAAACACAGCUCUCUGCGAAGUCGCAAGACGAAGUAUAGGGGGUGACACCUGCCCGGUGCUGGAAGGUUAAGAGGAUCUGUUAAGAGUGAUCUGAAGCAGUGAUCCGAAGCCCCAGUGAACGGCGGCCGUAACUAUAACGGUCCUAAGGUAGCGAAAUUCCUUGUCAGGUAAGUUCUGACCCGCACGAAAGGCGUAAUGAUUUGGGCACUGUCUCAACAGCCCGCCCGGCGAAAUUGUAGUACCGGUGAAGAUGCCGGUUACCCGCAACUAGACGGAAAGACCCCAUGGAGCUUUACUGCAGCCUGAUAUUGAAUUCUGGUCAUACAUGUACAGGAUAGGUGGGAGACAAAGAGACGUGCACGCCAGUGUACGAGGAGUCGACGUUGGGAUACCACUCUUGUGUGACCGGGGUUCUAACCUGGUAUCGAGAACAGGUACGGGGAGAGUGUCAGGUGGGCAGUUUGACUGGGGCGGUCGCCUCCCAAAGAGUAACGGAGGCGCCCAAAGGUACGCUCAGAUUGGAUGGAAACCAAUCGACGAGUGCAAUUGCAGAAGCGUGCUUGACUGUGAGACUUACAAGUCGAACAGGGACGAAAGUCGGGAAUAGUGAUCCGGCGGUGCCGAAUGGAAGGGCCGUCGCUCAACGGAUAAAAGCUACCCUGGGGAUAACAGGCUGAUCUCGCCCAAGAGUUCACAUCGACGGCGAGGUUUGGCACCUCGAUGUCGGCUCAUCGCAUCCUGGAGCUGGAUUCGGUUCCAAGGGUUGGGCUGUCCGCCCAUUAAAGCGGUACGCGAGCUGGGUUCAGAACGUCGUGAGACAGUUCGGUCCCUAUCUGUUGUGGGCGAAGGAGAUCUGCGGAGAGCUGUCCUCAGUACGAGAGGACCGGGAUGGACCUACCGCUGGUGCACCGGUUGUUCCGCCAGGGGCAUAGCCGGGUAGCUAAGUAGGGAAAGGAUAAGCGCUGAAAGCAUCUAAGCACGAAGCCUACUCCAAGAUGAGAUCUCCCAUUCG